rnacentral:rRNA from 1 species
UACGUAGGCAGCAAGCGUUGUUCGGAUUUACUGGGCGUAAAGGGUGUGUAGGCGGUUCUUUAAGUUUGGUGUGAAAUCUCCCGGCCCAACUGGGAGGGUGCGCCGAAUACUGAGGGACUUCGAGUGCGGGAGAGGAAAGUGGAAUUCCUGGUGUAGCGGUGAAAUGCGUAGAUAUCAGGAGGAACACCGGUGGUGUAGACGGCUUUCUGGACCGUAACUGACGCUGAGACACGAAAGCGUGGGUAGCAAACAGG